rnacentral:miRNA from 1 species
ACAACAGCAGCUGAUUUCACUG